GUCCGUGUCCGUGGUUGAAAGUCGAUGCCAGCCGCAGGCGAAACGAUCCACGUAAGCUGUGCAAAGCGCAGUGAGCAUGGUGCGGUCUAGAUGUAAGUCCGGCCGGCUAAAAGCCGAGAGGGGCAGUAGUGGGAAGGCGAACCCUUAUGAGCGAACCCCCCAGCCGGCGAGUGUGGGGUCAAAGACCAGGUCGGGCGGG
rnacentral:ncRNA from 1 species